GAUGAACGCUGGCGGCGUGCCUAAUACAUGCAAGUCGAGCGAACGGACGAGAAGCUUGCUUCUCUGAUGUUAGCGGCGGACGGGUGAGUAACACGUGGAUAACCUACCUAUAAGACUGGGAUAACUUCGGGAAACCGGAGCUAAUACCGGAUAAUAUUUUGAACCGCAUGGUUCAAAAGUGAAAGACGGUCUUGCUGUCACUUAUAGAUGGAUCCGCGCUGCAUUAGCUAGUUGGUAAGGUAACGGCUUACCAAGGCAACGAUGCAUAGCCGACCUGAGAGGGUGAUCGUCCACACUAGAACUGAGACACGGUCCAGACUCCUGCGGGAGGCAGCAGUAGGGAAUCUUCCGCAAUGGGCGAAAGCCUGACGGAGCAACGCCGCGUGAGUGAUGAAGGUCUUCGGAUCGUAAAACUCUGUUAUUAGGGAAGAACAUAUGUGUAAGUAACUGUGCACAUCUUGACGGUACCUAAUCAGAAAGCCACGGCUAACUACGUG
rnacentral:rRNA from 1 species